rnacentral:ncRNA from 1 species
CCAGCAAUGGUGCCCGUUGCCGGCUAAUAUUCUAAGCAGAAACUUUGGCGGGGAUACAGGGUUUGAACGGAGCAUCUGCAUGGCCGUUCUUAGUUGGUGGAGUGAUCUGUCUGGUUAAUUUCGAUAACGAACGAGACCUUAGCCUGCUAAAUAGGGUCAGUAACUUCGCGGUUACUGUAUCACUUCUUAGAGGGACUUUGCAUGUCUAACGCAAGGAAGUUUGAGGCAAUAACAGGUCUGUGAUGCCCUUAGAUGUUCUGGGCUGCACGCGCGCUACACUGAUGCAUGCAACGUGUUUUUACCUUGGCCGACAGGUCUGGGUAAUCUUUUGAGUGUGCAUCGUGAUGGGGAUAGGUUAUUGCAAUUAUUAAUCUUCAAGGAGGAAUGCCUAGUAGGCGCAAGUCAGCAGCUUGCGCCGAUUAAG